AAUUAAAUUAUUAAUGGUUUAAUUUCUUAUUUUUUCCACAGGAUYUGAGGUUCCAAUUAAAACUCUGUUUGGGCCAUUGCUUUGCCUGCCAGUGCUUAAUCUUUUCCGAAAGCCUCAUCACUUAUCUAAAACAAAAGAAGAACGAGUGUUUUGCUGCAGCCCAGAUUCUUCUGGAUUUGCUGAAUGAAGUUGGUCCUGUCUGGCCUGACAUCGGAUUUCCCUGCAGUCGGUGAAAAGCGAGAAGCAGUGCAGCAGCGGCAGCAGCAGCGUUCACCCACGUAUGCUUGGGUCCAAUCCUGUAAAGUGCUGCAUGCUACGUCGAAAGGGCUGCACGCUCUCACUUUGUACCUUGACAACAACAGAGGAAGUGUUCAACACUUUGUAAGAUCACGUCUUGAAUAAUCAAACUUAUUGAUAUCAGUAGCUUUAUUCAAUAUUUAAAAUUGCAGUUUAGAAAUGUUCUCAUUUUUCAUGUGAAGAAAGGAAUCUGAUGAAAAUCUGCAGGGCAGUGAUGUGCCUCAGAAAUCAUUCUACUGAAAUGAAUUACUUUUUUGACUGAGUAACUUCAGAAGGCAUUCACAUCAAUAUGGUUUAUAACAUGUGGAAAGGAAAAUUGACAUGACUCCUUUGGAAAAUAGAGGCACUACUUUCUCACUACUUCAUAAACGCUGAAAUACACAUUCUUUUAUUUAAAGAUGAGUGAAGGGGCUGAGACUUGCUCUGCCAUCCAGCCUUUUUAAAGGAAUCAAUCUUACUGGAAACCACAGAGAUGCAAAGGUAUAAAAUGUGAAUGUUAAAGGAAAGGACAUUGUUGAGUUUGGACUGUGCUGUAACAGAAAUGGAGGAGCACAUUUGGACAAGCUCUUCUGCACACUACUUUUAGUAGGUGUCCUUUCUAGCAGAUUGCUUAACUCAGCCCAUUUAACAACCUGUUCCUUGCCUUUGCUUUUGAAAGAACGUUGACAUUUGCCCUUCUUAUUUCUGGAAGCAGCCACACAAAUCCAAUAGACAGGGUCCAAGUAUGGAAAACAGCAGUGUCAUAAAGCUUAAUUUCAAUAACAAGCUUCAGCAGCUCAGAAAAUGCAUGCGCUUCAUUCCUCUUACAAUGGAAAGAAGUAUCAUUUAGCCUCUAACAAGGAAAGAGGUAAUGAGUUAAAGAUUUAGUGYUCAUGUUUAUAGGAGGCUUGUGUGAGAUUUCCAACUGUGGCAAAGUUUGUUUGUUUGUUUUUAAAGUAUUUAUUCAGUCACAUUUGAAAAUAAAAACACAAUUUUAU
rnacentral:lncRNA from 1 species